GAUGAACGCUGGCGGCGUGCCUAAUACAUGCAAGUCGAACGCUGAAGGAAGGAGCUUGCUCUUUCCGGAUGAGUUGCGAACGGGUGAGUAACGCGUAGGUAACCUGCCUGGUAGCGGGGGAUAACUAUUGGAAACGAUAGCUAAUACCGCAUAACAGUAGAUGUUGCAUGAUAUCUACUUAAAAGGUGCAAUUGCACCACUACCAGAUGGACCUGCGUUGUAUUAGCUAGUUGGUGAGGUAACGGCUCACCAAGGCGACGAUACAUAGCCGUCCUGAGAGGGUGAUCGGCCACACUGGGACUGAGACACGGCCCAGACUCCUACGGGAGGCAGCAGUAGGGAAUCUUCGGCAAUGGACGGAAGUCUGACCGAGCAACGCCGCGUGAGUGAAGAAGGCUUUCGGAUCGUAAAGCUCUGUUGUAAGAGAAGAACGAGUGUGAGAGUGGAAAGUUCACAAUGUGACGGUAUCUUACCAGAAAGGGACGGCUAACUACGUG
rnacentral:rRNA from 1 species